rnacentral:rRNA from 1 species
AGAGUUUGAUCCUGGCUCAGGAUGAACGCUGGCGGUAUGCUUAACACAUGCAAGUCGUACGCAAGUUUUUAACUUGAGUGGCGGACGGGUGAGUAACGCGUGAGAAUUCACCUUUAGGGAGGGGAUAACAAUUAGAAAUGAUUGCUAAUACCGUAUAUGCUUAUGUAGUGAAAGGAGUAAUCCCCCUAGAGAGAAGCUCGCGUCUGAUUAGCUAGUUGGUAAGGUAAUGGCUUACAAAGGCGACGAUCAGUAGCUGGUUUGAGAGAGCGAUCAGCCACACUGGAACUGAGACACGGUCCAGACUCCUACGGGAGGCAGCAGUGGGGAAUUUUCCGCAAUGGGCGAAAGCCUGACGGAGCAAUACCGCGUGAGGGAUGAAAGCCUAUGGGUUGUAAACCUCUUUUGUCAAGGAGGAAGUUCUGACGUUACUUGACGAAUAAGCAUCGGCUAACUCCGUGCCAGCAGCCGCGGUAAUACGGAGGAUGCAAGUGUUAUCCGGAAUCACUGGGCGUAAAGAGUCUGUAGGUGGUUUAAAAAGUCCACUAUUAAAGGUUGAAGCUUAACUUCAAAAAUGUCGUGGAAACUUUUAGACUUGAGUAUGGUAGGGGUAGAGGGAACUUCCAGUGGAGCGGUGAAAUGCGUAGAUAUUGGAAAGACCAUCAAUGGCGAAGGCACUCUACUGGGCCAUUACUGACACUGAGAGACGAAAGCUAGGGUAGCAAAUGGGAUUAGAUACCCCAGUAGUCCU